ACUUUCCAGAGAUGGAUUGGUGCCUUCGGGAACUGUGAGACAGGUGCUGCAUGGCUGUCGUCAGCUCGUGUUGUGAAAUGUUGGGUUAAGUCCCGCAACGAGCGCAACCCUUAUCCUUUGUUGCCAGCGGUCCGGCCGGGAACUCAAAGGAGACUGCCAGUGAUAAACUGGAGGAAGGUGGGGAUGACGUCAAGUCAUCAUGGCCCUUACGACCAGGGCUACACACGUGCUACAAUGGCGCAUACAAAGAGAAGCGACCUCGCGAGAGCAAGCGGACCUCAUAAAGUGCGUCGUAGUCCGGAUUGGAGUCUGCAACUCGACUCCAUGAAGUCGGAAUCGCUAGUAAUCGUGGAUCAGAAUGCCACGGUGAAUACGUUCCCGGGCCUUGUACACACCGCCCGUCACACCAUGGGAGUGGGUUGCAAAAGAAGUAGGUAGCUUAACCUUCGGGAGGGCGCUUACCACUUUGUGAUUCAUGACUGGGGUGAAGUCGUAACAAGGUAACCGUAGGGGAACCUGCGGUUGGAUCACCUCCUU
rnacentral:rRNA from 1 species